CGUAGGGUGCGAGCGUUAAUCGGAAUUACUGGGCGUAAAGCGUGCGCAGGCGGUUUUGUAAGCCAGAUGUGAAAUCCCCGGGCUCAACCUGGGAAUGGCAUUUGGGACUGCAAGGCUGGAGUGUGGCAGAGGAGACUGGAAUUCCUGGUGUAGCAGUGAAAUGCGUAGAUAUCAGGAGGAAUACCGAUGGCGAAGGCAGGUCUCUGGGCUAACACUGACGCUCAUGCACGAAAGCGUGGAGAGCAAACAGGAUUAGAUACCCUGGUAGUCCACGCCCUAAACGAUGUCGACUGGUUGUUGGGGGUUUGACACUCUCAGUAACGAAGCUAACGCGUGAAGUCGACCGCCUGGGGAGUACGGCCGCAAGGUUA
rnacentral:rRNA from 1 species